rnacentral:misc_RNA from 1 species
CGGGGUCGUCCCUGCGUGUGCCGGGCGUGCUGGCGUGGAACGGUCGUUGCGCCCUUUUUUGGGCGGGUACGGGCAUGCUGUUGGGUUCCCUGGCCGCCACGGCCCCCGGAGGGGGGUCGGCGUACAGGUGCCCGCCGUGGCCGGCUGUCCCCGUGUGGGGUUGGUUGGUUGUGGUGUGGCGUGGUGGUUUGAGAACUGGAUAGUGGACGCGAGCGGACCAUGCCGUUGUUGUACGGUUGUGGUCUGCUUGUACUGAUGUAUUUCGACCGGGUCCCCUCUUGUUGGGGGGUCUGGUUGUUGUUUGAUCGUUUUGUGAUCGCAGAGUGUUGAUGAUCUGUCGUCCGGUGUUCGUUGGUCUUGCGGGUUUCCCCCGUGUGUGGGGUUGCUUGCAAGGGCGUAUGGUGGAUGCCUUGGCACCAGA